rnacentral:piRNA from 1 species
UCAUUGUUUUCCGAGAGGUUA